rnacentral:rRNA from 1 species
UGGGGAAUAUUGGACAAUGGGCGAAAGCCUGAUCCAGCCAUGCCGCGUGUGUGAAGAAGGUCUUCGGAUUGUAAAGCACUUUAAGUUGGGAGGAAGGGCAGUUACCUAAUACGUAUCUGUUUUGACGUUACCGACAGAAUAAGCACCGGCUAACUCUGUGCCAGCAGCCGCGGUAAUACAGAGGGUGCAAGCGUUAAUCGGAAUUACUGGGCGUAAAGCGCGCGUAGGUGGUUUGUUAAGUUGGAUGUGAAAUCCCCGGGCUCAACCUGGGAACUGCAUUCAAAACUGACUGACUAGAGUAUGGUAGAGGGUGGUGGAAUUUCCUGUGUAGCGGUGAAAUGCGUAGAUAUAGGAAGGAACACCAGUGGCGAAGGCGACCACCUGGACUGAUACUGACACUGAGGUGCGAAAGCGUGGGGAGCAAACAGGAUUAGAUACCCCAGUAGUCCCUGAGCGGGCUGGCAAGGCGCAU